UACGGAGGGUGCAAGCGUUGUUCGGAAUUACUGGGCGUAAAGGGGGUGUAGGCGGCCAAGUAAGUCAGAUGUGAAAUCCCCCGGCUUAACCGAGGAAGUGCAUCUGAAACUGCUUGGCUUGAGUAUGGGAGAGGAAGGCGGAAUUCCCGGUGUAGCGGUGACAUGCGUAGAUAUCGGGAGGAACACCAGUGGCGAAGGCGGCCUUCUGGCCCAAUACUGACGCUGAGACCCGAAAGCGUGGGGAGCAAACAGG
rnacentral:rRNA from 1 species